GCCGGAGUGGCGGAACUGGCAGACGCACAGGACUUAAAAUCCUGGGGGCUGAAUAAGCCCGUACCGGUUCAAGUCCGGUCUCCGGCACCA
rnacentral:tRNA from 4 species